rnacentral:rRNA from 1 species
AUUGAACGCUGGCGGCAGGCCUAACACAUGCAAGCCGAACGGUAACAGGAAGAAGCUUGCUUCUUUGCUGACGAGUGGCGGACGGGUGAGUAAUGUCUGGGAAACUGCCUGAUGGAGGGGGAUAACUACUGGAAACGGUAGCUAAUACCGCAUAACGUCGCAAGACCAAAGAGGGGGACCUUCGGGCCUCUUGCCAUCGGAUGUGCCCAGAUGGGAUUAGCUAGUAGGUGGGGUAACGGCUCACCUAGGCGACGAUCCCUAGCUGGUCUGAGAGGAUGACCAGCCACACUGGAACUGAGACACGGUCCAGACUCCUACGGGAGGCAGCAGUGGGGAAUAUUGCACAAAGGGCGCAAGCCUGAUGCAGCCAUGCCGCGUGUAUGAAGAAGGCCUUCGGGUUGUAAAGUACUUUCAGCGGGGAGGAAGGGAGUAAAGUUAAUACCUUUGCUCAUUGACGUUACCCGCAGAAGAAGCACCGGCUAACUCCGUG